GACUCCUUCGGGAGGCAGCAGUGGGGAAUCUUGCACAAUGGGCGAAAGCCUGAUGCAGCGACGCCGCGUGGGGGAUGAAGCUUCUCGGAGUGUAAACCCCUUUCGACCGGGACGAAUACCUCGCAAGAGGGGUGACGGUACCGGUAUAAGAAGCCCCGGCUAACUACGUGCCAGCAGCCGCGGUAAGACGUGGGGGGCCAGCGUUGCUCGGAAUUACUGGGUGUAAAGGGUUCGUAGGCGGUGUGGCAAGUCGGGAGUGAAAUCUCUGGGCUUAACCCAGGGGCUGCUUCCGAAACUGCCGUGCUAGAGUGUGGGAGAGGCGCGUGGAAUUGCAGGUGUAGCGGUGAAAUGCGUAGAUAUCUGCAGGAACACCCGUGGAGAAAGCGGCGCGCUGGACCACUACUGACGCUGAGGAACGAAAGCUAGGGGAGCAAACAGGAUUAGAUACCCUGGUAGUCCUAGCCCUAAACGAUCAGGACUUGGGGUGCCACCCGUUCGGGUGUCGUCCCGGAGCUAACGCGUUAAGUCCUGCACCUGGGGAGUACGGUCGCAAGACUGAAACAUCACAAGGAAUUGAC
rnacentral:rRNA from 1 species